rnacentral:rRNA from 6 species
GGUUGACCUCGGAUCAGGUAGGGAUACCCG